rnacentral:rRNA from 1 species
UAGAGUUUGAUCCUGGCUCAGAUUGAACGCUGGCGGCAGGCCUAACACAUGCAAGUCGAGCGGUAGCACAGAGAGCUUGCUCUCGGGUGACGAGCGGCGGACGGGUGAGUAAUGUCUGGGAAACUGCCUGAUGGAGGGGGAUAACUACUGGAAACGGUAGCUAAUACCGCAUAAUGUCGCAAGACCAAAGUGGGGGACCUUCGGGCCUCAUGCCAUCAGAUGUGCCCAGAUGGGAUUAGCUAGUAGGUGGGGUAACGGCUCACCUAGGCGACGAUCCCUAGCUGGUCUGAGAGGAUGACCAGCCACACUGGAACUGAGACACGGUCCAGACUCCUACGGGAGGCAGCAGUGGGGAAUAUUGCACAAUGGGCGCAAGCCUGAUGCAGCCAUGCCGCGUGUGUGAAGAAGGCCUUCGGGUUGUAAAGCACUUUCAGCGGGGAGGAAGGCGAUAAGGUUAAUAACCUUGUCGAUUGACGUUACCCGCAGAAGAAGCACCGGCUAACUCCGUGCCAGCAGCCGCGGUAAUACGGAGGGUGCAAGCGUUAAUCGGAAUUACUGGGCGUAAAGCGCACGCAGGCGGUCUGUCAAGUCGGAUGUGAAAUCCCCGGGCUUAACCUGGGAACUGCAUUCGAAACUGGCAGGCUAGAGUCUUGUAGAGGGGGGGUAGAAUUCCAGGUGUAGCGGUGAAAUGCGUAGAGGUCUGGAGGAAUACCGGUGGCGAAGGCGGCCCCCUGGACAAAGACUGACGCUCAGGUGCGAAAGCGUGGGGAGCAAACAGGAUUAGAUACCCUGGUAGUCCACGCCGUAAACGAUGUCGAUUUGGAGGUUGUGCCCUUGAGGCGUGGCUUCCGGAGCUAACGCGUUAAAUCGACCGCCUGGGGAGUACGGCCGCAAGGUUAAAACUCAAAUGAAUUGACGGGGGCCCGCACAAGCGGUGGAGCAUGUGGUUUAAUUCGAUGCAACGCGAAGAACCUUACCUGGUCUUGACAUCCACAGAACUUUCCAGAGAUGGAUUGGUGCCUUCGGGAACUGUGAGACAGGUGCUGCAUGGCUGUCGUCAGCUCGUGUUGUGAAAUGUUGGGUUAAGUCCCGCAACGAGCGCAACCCUUAUCCUUUGUUGCCAGCGGUUAGGCCGGGAACUCAAAGGAGACUGCCAGUGAUAAACUGGAGGAAGGUGGGGAUGACGUCGAGUCAUCAUGGCCCUUACGACCAGGGCUACACACGUGCUACAAUGGCAUAUACAAAGAGAAGCGACCUCGCGAGAGCAAGCGGACCUCAUAAAGUAUGUCGUAGUCCGGAUUGGAGUCUGCGACCCGACUCCAUGAAGUCGGAAUCGCUAGUAAUCGUAGAUCAGAAUGCUACGGUGAAUACGUUCCCGGGCCUUGUACACACCGCCCGUCACACCAUGGGAGUGGGUUGCAAAAGAAGUAGGUAGCUUAACCUUCGGGAGGGCGCUUACCACUUUGUGAUUCAUGACUGGGGUGAAGUCGUAACAAGGUAACCA